GCUCCCCGCUGACGAGCGGCGGACGGGUGAGUAAUGCAUAGGAAACUGCCCAGUAGUGGGGGAUAGCCCGGGGAAACCCGGAUUAAUACCGCAUACGCCCUUCGGGGGAAAGCAGGGGAUCUUCGGACCUUGCGCUAUUGGAUGUGCCUAUGUCGGAUUAGCUAGUUGGUGGGGUAAGAGCCUACCAAGGCGACGAUCCGUAGCUGGUCUGAGAGGAUGAUCAGCCACAUCGGGACUGAGACACGGCCCGAACUCCUACGGGAGGCAGCAGUGGGGAAUAUUGGACAAUGGGGGCAACCCUGAUCCAGCCAUGCCGCGUGUGUGAAGAAGGCUUUCGGGUUGUAAAGCACUUUCAGUGAGGAGGAAAACCUUAAGUUUAAUACGCUUGAGGCUUGACGUUACUCACAGAAGAAGCACCGGCUAACUCCGUGCCAGCAGCCGCGGUAAUACGGAGGGUGCAAGCGUUAAUCGGAAUUACUGGGCGUAAAGCGCGCGUAGGUGGUUUGAUAAGCGAGAUGUGAAAGCCCCGGGCUCAACCUGGGAACGGCAUUUCGAACUGUCAGGCUAGAGUAUGGUAGAGGAGUGUGGAAUUUCCUGUGU
rnacentral:rRNA from 1 species